CAGAAAAAUAACAUUUUCACACCAUACUCAUCGAAACUAAGAACUUUUAGACGAUUGGAGACAAAUGAUAUUAGGUUUAUAACCAAACUUCAAGCGAAAACCACAUUUUACAGCCACCACCACUGCCAAUCAGAUGGCGAGGAACGUCCACCAAAAGGCCUCCACAAAUCGUCGCCCAAACGUGAAUGCUCCAGAAGAAAAGGACGUCACCUCCACAUAAAUGCGUCACGGGCUAUUUUUAGUGCGUCUCAUCAAGGCGUCUUGUGGACCACACUUGUUCAAUGAGUGUGAGAAAACAUCAAUUAACUCGUUCAAUAAAGAAAUGAGAAUUGCU